rnacentral:rRNA from 1 species
GAUGAACGCUGGCGGCGUGCCUAAUACAUGCAAGUCGAGCGAACAGACGAGGAGCUUGCUCCUCUGACGUUAGCGGCGGACGGGUGAGUAACACGUGGAUAUCCUACCUAUAAGACUGGGAUAACUUCGGGAAACCGGAGCUAAUACCGGAUAAUAUAUUGAACCGCAUGGUUCAAUAGUGAAAGACGGUUUUGCUGUCACUUAUAGAUGGAUCCGCGCCGCAUUAGCUAGUUGGUAAGGUAACGGCUUACCAAGGCAACGAUGCGUAGCCGACCUGAGAGGGUGAUCGGCCACACUGGAACUGAGACACGGUCCAGACUCCUACGGGAGGCAGCAGUAGGGAAUCUUCCGCAAUGGGCGAAAGCCUGGCGGAGCAACGCCGCGUGAGUGAUGAAGGUCUUCGGAUCGUAAAACUCUGUUAUUAGGGAAGAACAAAUGUGUAAGUAACUAUGCACGUCUUGACGGUACCUAAUCAGAAAGCCACGGCUAACUACGUG